UACGUAGGGCGCAAGCGUUUGUCCGGAAUUAUUGGGCGUAAAGAGCUCGUAGGCGGUUUGUCGCGUCUGCUGUGAAAACCUAAGGCUCAACCUUGGGCUUGCAGUGGGUACGGGCAGACUAGAGUGCGGUAGGGGGUGACUGGAAUUCCUGGUGUAGCGGUGGAAUGCGCAGAUAUCAGGAGGAACACCGAUGGCGAAGGCAGGUCACUGGGCCGCAAACUGACGCUGGAGGAGCGAAAGCCGUGGGGAGCAAACAGG
rnacentral:rRNA from 1 species